rnacentral:tRNA from 1 species
GCCCAAUUGGUCUAGCGGGUAAGUUGCGAUCCUUGUUUGGUUCACAAACUCCAUUCUAACAUGAAUACAGUAUGAUACCUGCUUCGGGUGCAGGUGGUCCCCGGUUCGAUCCCGGGAUUGGGCC